rnacentral:rRNA from 1 species
AGCGUGUGAGCGUAAGCAAAUCCCAAAAAUAAACGUCUCAGUUCGGAUUGCAGUCUGCAACUCGGCUGCAUGAAGCUGGAAUCGCUAGUAAUCGCGGAUCAGAAUGCCGCGGUGAAUACGUUCUCGGGCCUUGUACACACCGCCCGUCACACCAUGGGAGUCGGUAACACCCGAAGUCUGUAGCCUGACGCAAGAGGGCGCAGCCGAAGGUGGGAUUGAUGACUGGGGUGAAGUCGUAACAAGGUACC